AUUUUUAUCUCAGUUCUCAAAAAGAUCUCUCCCUCUUACAAUGGCUUCUGGUCCCUUUAAUAGGAGUUACACAGUGGAGGACAACUAAUAAAGUCAUUAUUUUCGUUAUAAUUAUCGCGCUCACAUUUUAACUGCCGCGUUGAUCUUCACAUUUUUGGUGUGACUUGGUGAUGUUAUGUCAUUCGUCAGCAGAAGUGUAACGAGCGCGUUAUUUUCGCCUGCUAUCAAAUGCAUUCCUUCGCCUUACUACUGGGUGUGCGGUAUUUUGCACCCAUAUUUUACCUCUUAUCCUAUCAUUCUUUUUGAAGGAAAGAGAGGUAAGAGAAUCCUUAUUCUUCUGCAUAAACUUUGUCUUUUCGCAUUCUCUUAGAUUUACCGCCAUUUUUCCGUUAUUUCAACAUAACCGUCCACACCUGUUGACUUUCUCCUUUUUGACCGACACACCUCCUCUCUAACCGGUUGUUUCCUUCUCAUCAAUUCGCUUAUUUAUAACUGUAGUGGAGAGAGAAAAUUUUUCUUUAUUUUCACUGUUCCUCUUCUCUGUCAAUUUUCUUCAUCUUCUCUAAAGCCUUCAUCAUCUUUUCAGGAAUUUUUUCUACCAAUCCUUGAUUCAUGGAUCCACCUAGCAGGAUUCUGAAGGUGAAGUUUUUCGCGAAAAGAAGAAGGUUAAAAAGUCUUGCCCUGCUCCCAAGAUUGAUACAACUGUUAAUUUGCCAAUGGUUACUUAUAAAUUUCGCCCCAUUUCACUGCCUCACUCCUUGCCUACGCCUGCUGCAAUUACUAUUGAUUUUGUCGCUCCCUCCUCUCCCGAAGAUCUGCAGAAGAGUUCCCUUGACGAAAAUGUUACCAUACCUUCAAAGGAUGUUACCGCAACUGUAAUUGAAAGUGUUUCUGCUUCUUUGAAGGAUUCUACCGCCUUGGUUUCCGAGAUUGCUACCGCGCCUUCGAAGGAAAUUGUUACUCCUUCAAUGGAUAUUACUAUUUCUACACCUCCUCUCACCAAGAUUACAUCUUCUUCUUUUGAGAAUACCUCUGCUGAUGAAGGCGCUCUUGAAGGGGCUGAUUAUGGGGCCAAGUUGUUAUUAGAAAUUAUCAAUUCGUCCUGCUCGUCCAAUGAUGAUCCUUCUCGAUCUCGAGUUUGUGACGCCCUUUCCAAGUUGCUUUGUGAAUCUUCUCCAGAUAAGUCCACUCGGAAUGAGAUUUUUUCUCAACUAGAUCCAAGCGUUAAUCUCGCCUUUGAACGUUUGGAAUCCCGUCUCCGCAUGGUUCAAAUUGAAGGUUUCUCGGAAUCUAUCAAUACCAUCAGAUAACUUUCCCAACAGGUUACCAAACUAAAGGGGGAUCUUUUAGGUGAAUCUAUCACAUCCGACAAUUUUCGCUCUAAAAAUCAAUAACUUAGAGGUAUGUUCUUCUUCCAAUCACUAUCUCUGAAUUCUACCGCGCUUAUGUUCAUUUUUAAAUUCCUUGCACAUAUGUAAAGACAUAAACCAGAAGCCCGUCAUGGAAAGAUUCAGUUAUCAACAUUCAGCUGAGGAUGCCCGUGCAGAUAAUGAGUGAUUACAAGAUCAACUGAGUCAAUUAACUAGUAACCAAGAUAAUGAGUGAUUACAAGAUCAACUGAGUCAAUUAACUAGUAACCACUUGUAUUUACUUGACCAAAUCGAUAAUCUAAAGAAUGAAAACCUGUAUCUAUACAAUCAAUACGGUUUUCUUGGUUCCCAAAUUUCCCAUCUUUCAGGAUUGCUUUAUACCGCUGAUUUAAGAAAUGGGUUAAGCGGUAAAAUGCUCCAAAAUGGACCCCAUGGUUGUGAAAAUGCCCCGGCCGUUAGUCGAAAGAUUAAAAUGCCCCGGCCGUUAGUCGAAAGAUUAAAAUGCCCCAAAAUGAUAUCGAAAUGCCUCAACCCGUUAAAGUUUCUAUUGUAGUCAAAAUGGGACAUUCUAAUAUUUUUGACCGGUCAACUGUUACAUGAAUGCCCCAAAAUGCCCUCGACAGAAAUAGCACCCGACGUGAUUCACACGUGUGCUAAUGAACCCAUUAUAGGCGUGCAAUGUUGACUGUUGACACGUGGACUUGACUGACACCUGUACCACACAUGUGGUUCGUUCGAGUACCACAAUUCUUAUCUUCUCGAUGAGCCACAGAAAGAUCAAAAACAGAACGAUACACAGAGAGAGAGAGUCCUCGAGAGAGAGACAGAGAGAUCGAGAGACGGGGAAGAACUGUGAAGUUGCAGAUCGAGAAGAGAAGAUAGAUGAGACGGAGAAGAUAAGAUCAGGGUAGAAAUGUGAAGUUGCAGCGAAGAAAAGAAUGGGUAGUGAAUAUAGGGAUUAUUUUUGCGUCAACAAAAAAGAUGAGGAAGGCCUUGUCUGCACCAACUACUGCAUCAAAGAAAUCUGCUGAUAUACCACCAUUGUCAAAGGGCAAAGCAGCUGCUACUCCACCAUCUUCUUCUUCAGCUGGUUCCCAGAAAAAGGGCAAGACAACUGCACAAUCCUCCUCUACUGCAGCUGAUGUUGGUGCUAAAAGGAAGGUGCCACAUCCAUUAACCAGACUUAUAAUGGUCCUGUUAAGAUUUCUAGCCAAACAAUCAACAUUACUGAACCAUCAUAAAAAAGGGUUAGAAAGCCUAACUCUAAAUAUCAGUAAUGUCAGUUUUUGGGCUCCUUUUCAAUUAUGUUUUUUUAGCAUUUCGAGACCUAUGAAGUUUUAAUGACAGAUAUACUAGUAGCUAGUUUAUGUUUAAGAAUUUUAAUUGUCUUUUGUUUAUGAAUCUAUAGUUUUAUUUAAUAAGUAUGGAUUCAGAACAUGGUUUUUAUUUUUUAA